rnacentral:rRNA from 1 species
UACGUAGGGUGCAGGCGUUAAUCGGAAUUACUGGGCGUAAAGCGUGCGCAGGCGCUCCUUAAGUCAGAUGUGAAAGCCCCCGGGCUUAACCUGGGAACUGCGUUUGAAACUGGGGAGCUAGAGUGUAGAAGAGGGGGGUGGAAUUCCAGGUGUAGCAGUGAAAUGCGUAGAGAUCUGGAGGAACACCGAUGGCGAAGGCAGCCCCCUGGGCUAACACUGACGCUCAUGCACGAAAGCGUGGGAGCAAACAGG